rnacentral:rRNA from 1 species
AGUGGGGAAUAUUGCACAAUGGGCGCAAGCCUGAUGCAGCGACGCCGCGUGGGGGAUGAAGGCCUUCGGGUUGUAAACUCCUUUCGCUAGGGACGAAGCCUUUUUUAAGGUGACGGUACCUGGAUAAGAAGCACCGGCUAACUACGUGCCAGCAGCCGCGGUAAUACGUAGGGUGCAAGCGUUGUCCGGAAUUACUGGGCGUAAAGAGCUCGUAGGUGGUUUGUCGCGUCGUCUGUGAAAUUCCGGGGCUUAACUCCGGGCGUGCAGGCGAUACGGGCAUAACUUGAGUGCUGUAGGGGAGACUGGAAUUCCUGGUGUAGCGGUGAAAUGCGCAGAUAUCAGGAGGAACACCGAUGGCGAAGGCAGGUCUCUGGGCAGUAACUGACGCUGAGGAGCGAAAGCAUGGGUAGCGAACAGGAUUAGAUACCCUGGUAGUCCAUGCCGUAAACGGUGGGCNGCUAGGUGUAGGGGGCUUCCACGUCUUCUGUGCCGUAGCUAACGCAUUAANCGCCCCNGCCUGGGGAGUACCGGCCGCAAGGCUAAAACUCAAAGGAAUUGACGGGGGCCCGCACAAGCGGCCGGAGCAUGUGGAUUAAUUCNAUGCAACGCCNAAGAACCUUACCCUUGGGCUUUNACAUANGCAGGUAUUGGGUUCANNANAUGGNCUUGUCCCUUUGUG